UACGUAGGGUGCGAGCGUUAAUCGGAAUUACUGGGCGUAAAGCGUGCGCAGGCGGUUUUGUAAGCCAGAUGUGAAAUCCCCGGGCUCAACCUGGGAAUGGCAUUUGGGACUGCAAGGCUGGAGUACGGCAGAGGAGACUGGAAUUCCUGGUGUAGCAGUGAAAUGCGUAGAGAUCAGGAGGAAUACCGAUGGCGAAGGCAGGUCUCUGGGCUGAUACUGACGUUCAUGCACGAAAGCGUGGGGAGCAAACAGG
rnacentral:rRNA from 1 species